CAAGGACAACAGUCAAUGCCCUCAGUUUUGUUCAUUUCAGAACCUCAGCCCGGGAUCAUUGGCAGAUGCCUUCACGAUUCCGUGGGGAGGGAGCCUGAGGUAUGCCUUCCCUCCGUUCCCGCUCAUCCACAAGGUCCUCCUCAAGACCUGCAGGGACAGGGCGAUAAUUAUACUCAUCGCCCCGGCCUGGCCACGCCAGCAUUGGUUCACGACCCUGCUGGAAUUGUCCAUAGCCGACCCGAUCAUCCUCCCACUCCAUCGUGACCUAGUCACACAAGACAGGGGUCGCCUGCUCCACCCGAACCUGUCAUCGCUACAUCUCACGGCGUGGUAUCUCUCUGGCUGAACGAUGCGGAACACAUGUGCUCUCACCGGGUUCAACAAAUUCUCCUUAGUAGUAGGAAGCCCUCCACAAGAGAGACCUACCUGGCCAAAUGGAAGAGGUUCUCCCACUGGUGCGAGCCUCAGCACAUACAGCCUCUACAGGCCUCAGUUCUGUCGAUCCUGGACUACUUACUACAUCUCAAGCAUCAGGGGCUUGCCCCCACCUCGAUUAAAGUGCAUUUAGCUGCCAUUUCGGCAUUCCAUCCGGGAGAGUUGGGAGUGUCAGUGUUCUCCAACCCCACGGUAGCCCGAUUCCUCAAGGGGCUGGAGAGGGUGUUUCCCUACUUGCGCCCACCGGUCCCUGCGUGGAGUCUGAACCUAGUCCUAACUAAGCUCAUGGGGCCCCCCUUUGAACCCCUAGCCACUUGCUCCCUCAUGCACCUCUCGUGGAAGGUGGCGUUUCUCGUGGCCAUCACAUCAGCCAGGAGGGUAUCGGAAUUGAGGGCCCUCACUUCAGAACCCCCUUAUACAGUUUUUCAUAAGGAUAAGGUGCAACUGAGGCCGCACCCCAAAUUCCUCCCGAAAGUGGUAUCGCAGUUUCACAUGGGACAGGACAUUUGUCUACCGGUGUUCUUCCCUAAACCCCAUACGGACCCUCAUCACCGCAGCCUAUAUACCCUCAAUGUUCGAAGGGCAUUGGCGUUUUACCUGGAGCGGACCAGGUUGUUCCGCAGAACACCUCAGCUGUUUAUUGCCGUUGCGGAACGUAUGAGAGGCCUGCCUAUCUU
ensembl:lncRNA